AACUGGCUUUGCAGACGCUGCCGCCGAGGAAAUUCUUGUACUACUAGCCAUGGUCAACCCUACCGUGUUCUUCGACAUUGCCGUCGACGGCGAGCCCUUGGGCCGCGUCUCCUUCGAGCUGUUUGCAGACAAGGUUCCAAAGACAGCAGAAAAUUUUCGUGCUCUGAGCACUGGAGAGAAAGGAUUUGGUUAUAAGGGUUCCUGCUUUCACAGAAUUAUUCCAGGGUUUAUGUGUCAGGGUGGUGACUUCACACGCCAUAAUGGCACUGGUGGAAGUCCAUCUAUGGGGAGAAAUUUGAAGAUGAGAACUUCAUCCUAAAGCAUACAGGUCCUGGCAUCUUGUCCAUGGCAAAUGCUGGACCCAACACAAAUGGUUCCCAGUUUUUCAUCUGCACUGCCAAGACUGAGUGGUUGGAUGGCAAGCAUGUGGUCUUUGGCAGAGUGAAAGAAGGCAUGAAUAUUGUGGAGGCCAUGGAGCGCUCUGGGUCCAGGAAUGGCAAGACCAGCAAGAAGAUCACCAUUGCUGACUGUGGACAACUCGAAUAAGUUUGUCUUGUGUUUUAUCUUAACCACCAGACCAUUCCUUCUGUAGCUCAGGAGAGCACCCC